AACAGGUCGCACAUAAUCGAUUACUUCCAUAUUAUGAAGUACUUGCUCUUCGACUCCUUGCACAGAAUUUGCUGUCAUCUUCCACCCAGUUAUCGCUGUCGGAUCAUAUUUGUUCUGGAGAAGAGAUCAAAUGUGGUUCCCCUCACAACACCAAAAAUGGAUCGUUUCGUUGGGUCACUUACAUAAAAUUGGUACGAAAAAAGUUGGAUGGAUCUAUUCACUAUUCAAUAGGUCGCUUCAAAAACUUG